rnacentral:rRNA from 1 species
UACGUAGGGUGCAAGCGUUUGUCCGGAUUUAUUGGGCGUAAAGAGCUCGUAGGCGGUCUGUUGCGUCGGGUGUGAAAACCCAGGGCUCAACCCUGGGCCUGCAUUCGAUACGGGCAGACUAGAGUAUGGCAGGGGAGACUGGAAUUCCUGGUGUAGCGGUGAAAUGCGCAGAUAUCAGGAGGAACACCGGUGGCGAAGGCGGGUCUCUGGGCCGUAACUGACGCUGAGGAGCGAAAGCGUGGGGAGCGAACAGG